rnacentral:rRNA from 1 species
CCUACGGGAGGCUGCAGUGGGGAAUAUUGCACAAUGGGGGAAACCCUGAUGCCGCGACGCCGCGUGAGUGAAGAAGUAAUUCGUUAUGUACAGCUCUAUCAGCCGGGAAGCAAAUGACGGUACCUGAGUACGACGCCUCGGCUAACUACUUGCCAGCAGCCGCGGUAAUACGUAGGGGGCAAGCGUUAUCCGGAUUUACUGGGUGUAAAGGGAGCGUAGACGGCAGUGCAAGUCUGGAGUGAAAGGCGGGGGCUCAACCCCCGGACUGCUCUGGAAACUGUACGGCUGGAGUGCAGGAGAGGUAAGUUGAAUGCCUAGUGUAGCGGUGAAAUGCGGAGAUAUUAGGAGGAACACCAGUGGCGAAGGCGGCUUACUGGACUGUAACUGACGUUGAGGCUCGAAAGCGUGGGGAGCAAACAGGAUUAGAUACCCGUGUAGUC